AUGGCAAAUGCUCAUGUCAACAUGAACUUCAACGCGUUCCUAGAGAAAACCAAGCUGAAAGAUGAUGGCAGCAACUAUUCGGACUGGGUCCGAAACCUGAGGAUCAUCCUCAUAGCAGCCAAGAAAGAUUAUGUCCUAGAUGCACCGCUAGGUGAAGCACCCAUCCCAGAGAACCAAGACGUUAUGAACACUUGGCAAUCACGUGCUGAUGAUUACUCCCUUGUUCAGUGCGGCAUGCUUUACAUCUUAGAACCGGGACUCCAAAAGCGUUUUGAGAAGCACGGAGCAUAUGAGAUGUUCGAGGAGCUGAAAAUGGUUUUCCAAGCUCAUGCCCGGGUCGAGAGAUAUGAAGUCUCCGACAAGUUCUGUAGUUGUAAGAUGGAGGAAAAGAGUUCUGUCAGUGAGCACAUACUUAAAAUGUCUGGGUUGCACAACCGUCUGUCCCAGCUGGAGAUCAACCUCCCGGAAGAGGCGGUCAUUGACAGAAUCCUUCAGUCGCUCCCACCGAGCUACAAGAGCUUUGUGUUGAACUACAAUAUGCAGGGGAUGGUGAAGACCAUUCCUGAAGUAUUCUCAAUGCUGAAGUCAGCAGAGGUUGAAAUCAAGAAAGAACAUCAAGUGUUGAUGGUCAAU
rnacentral:rRNA from 1 species